rnacentral:rRNA from 1 species
CAGCCGCCGCGGUAAUACGAAGGGGGCUAGCGUUGCUCGGAAUGACUGGGCGUAAAGGGCGCGUAGGCGGCGAUCAAAGUCAGGCGUGAAAUUCCUGGGCUCAACCUGGGGGCUGCGUUUGAUACUUGGUUGCUAGAGUGAGGAAGAGGGUCGUGGAAUUCCCAGUGUAGAGGUGAAAUUCGUAGAUAUUGGGAAGAACACCGGUGGCGAAGGCGGCGACCUGGUCCUUGACUGACGCUGAGGCGCGAAAGCGUGGGGAGCAAACAGGAUUAGAUACCCGCGUAGUCCCUGUCUCUUAUAC